AGUGAACGCUGGCGGUAGGCCUAACACAUGCAAGUCGAACGGCAGCACAGUAAGAGCUUGCUCUUACGGGUGGCGAGUGGCGGACGGGUGAGGAAUACAUCGGAAUCUACUUUUUCGGGGGGGAUAACGUAGGGAAACUUACGCUAAUACCGCAUACGACCUACGGGUGAAAGCAGGGGAUCUUCGGACCUUGCGCGAUUGAAUGAGCCGAUGUCGGAUUAGCUAGUUGGCGAGGUAAAGGCCCACCAAGGCGACGAUCCGUAGCUGGUCUGAGAGGAUGAUCAGCCACACUGGAACUGAGACACGGUCCAGACUCCUACGGGAGGCAGCAGUGGGGAAUAUUGGACAAUGGGCGCAAGCCUGAUCCAGCCAUACCGCGUGGGUGAAGAAGGCCUUCGGGUUGUAAAGCCCUUUUGUUGGGAAAGAAAAGCAGCAGGUUAAUACCCCGCUGUUCUGACGGUACCCAAAGAAUAAGCACCGGCUAACUUCGUG
rnacentral:rRNA from 1 species